rnacentral:rRNA from 1 species
AGGAAGGGCACCACCAGGAGUGGAGCCUGCGGCUUAAUUUGACUCAACACGGGGAAACUCACCAGGUCCAGACACAAUAAGGAUUGACAGAUUGAGAGCUCUUUCUUGAUUUUGUGGGUGGUGGUGCAUGGCCGUUCUUAGUUGGUGGAGUGAUUUGUCUGCUUAAUUGCGAUAACGAACGAGACC